UACGUAGGCAGCAAGCGUUGUUCGGAGUUACUGGGCGUAAAGGGUGUGUAGGCGGUUUGGUAAGUCUGGUGUGAAAUCUCCCGGCUCAACUGGGAGGGUGCGCCGGAAACUGCCGGACUCGAGUGCGGGAGAGGAGAGUGGAAUUCCUGGUGUAGCGGUGAAAUGCGUAGAUAUCAGGAGGAACACCGGUGGUGUAGACGGCUCUCUGGACCGUAACUGACGCUGAGACACGAAAGCGUGGGUAGCAAACAGG
rnacentral:misc_RNA from 1 species